UACAGAGGGUGCGAGCGUUAAUCGGAAUUACUGGGCGUAAAGCGUGCGUAGACGGUUAUUUAAGUCGGGUGUGAAAGCCCCGGGCUCAACCUGGGAAUUGCAUUCGAGACUGAAUAGCUAGGGUACGGUAGAGGGAAGCAGAAUUUCCGGUGUAGCGGUGAAAUGCGUAGAUAUCGGGAGGAACAUCAGUGGCGAAGGCGGCCUUCUGGUCCAGUACUGACACUCAAGUGCGAAAGCGUGGGGAGCAAACAGG
rnacentral:rRNA from 1 species